rnacentral:tRNA from 1 species
AUUUAUAUAAUUUAUAAAGAAUAUUGCGCUGAAGUUGCAAAAGAGAUAUAACUAUCUGUAAAUA